GUGUCAGCAGCCGCGGUAAGACGAACCGUGCAAACGUUAUUCGGAAUCACUGGGCUUAAAGCGCGUGUAGGCGGGUGGGAACGUCGGCUGCUGAAAGCCCCCGGCUCAACCGGGGAAGGGGCACCGAAACGACCCGUCUCGAGGAACGUAGGGGGACCUGGAACUUCCGGUGGAGCGGUGAAAUGCGUUGAGAUCGGAAGGAACGCCCGUGGCGAAAGCGAGGUCCUGGACGUUAUCUGACGCUGAGACGCGAAAGCUAGGGGAGCAAACGGGAUUAGAAACCCCUGUAGUCC
rnacentral:rRNA from 1 species